UGGGGAAUAUUGGACAAUGGGCGCAAGCCUGAUCCAGCCAUGCCGCGUGUGUGAAGAAGGCCUUUUGGUUGUAAAGCACUUUAAGCGAGGAGGAGGCUACUUGGAUUAAUACUCUAGGAUAGUGGACGUUACUCGCAGAAUAAGCACCGGCUAACUCUGUGCCAGCAGCCGCGGUAAUACAGAGGGUGCGAGCGUUAAUCGGAUUUACUGGGCGUAAAGCGUGCGUAGGCGGCUUUUUAAGUCGGAUGUGAAAUCCCUGAGCUUAACUUAGGAAUUGCAUUCGAUACUGGGAAGCUAGAGUAUGGGAGAGGAUGGUAGAAUUCCAGGUGUGGCGGUGAAAUGCGUAGAGAUCUGGAGGAAUACCGAUGGCGAAGGCAGCCAUCUGGCCUAAUACUGACGCUGAGGUACGAAAGCAUGGGGAGCAAACAGG
rnacentral:rRNA from 1 species